ACAGUCGAGCGAACUGAUUAGAAGCUUGCUUCUAUGACGUUAGCGGCGGACGGGUGAGUAACACGUGGGCAACCUGCCUGUAAGACUGGGAUAACUUCGGGAAACCGAAGCUAAUACCGGAUAGGAUCUUCUCCUUCAUGGGAGAUGAUUGAAAGAUGGUUUCGGCUAUCACUUACAGAUGGGCCCGCGGUGCAUUAGCUAGUUGGUGAGGUAACGGCUCACCAAGGCAACGAUGCAUAGCCGACCUGAGAGGGUGAUCGGCCACACUGGGACUGAGACACGGCCCAGACUCCUACGGGAGGCAGCAGUAGGGAAUCUUCCGCAAUGGACGAAAGUCUGACGGAGCAACGCCGCGUGAGUGAUGAAGGCUUUCGGGUCGUAAAACUCUGUUGUUAGGGAAGAACAAGUACGAGAGUAACUGCUCGUACCUUGACGGUACCUAACCAGAAAGCCACGGCUAACUACGUGCCAGCAGCCGCGGUAAUACGUAGGUGGCAAGCGUUAUCCGGAAUUAUUGGGCGUAAAGCGCGCGCAGGCGGUUUCUUAAGUCUGAUGUGAAAGCCCACGGCUCAACCGUGGAGGGUCAUUGGAAACUGGGGAACUUGAGUGCAGAAGAGAAAAGCGGAAUUCCACGUGUAGCGGUGAAAUGCGUAGAGAUGUGGAGGAACACCAGUGGCGAAAGCGGCUUUUUGGUCUGUAACUGACGCUGAGCGCGAAAGCGUGGGGAGCAAACAGAUUAGAUACCCUGGUAGUCCACGCC
rnacentral:rRNA from 1 species